rnacentral:rRNA from 1 species
UACGUGAGGGUGCAAGCGUUGUCCGGAAUUAUUGGGCGUAAAGAGCUCGUAGGCGGUUUGUCGCGUCGGGAGGUGAAAAACCUUGGGCUUAACUCAGGGCUUGCUUUCGAUACGGGCAGACUAGAGGUAUGCAGGGGAGAACGGAAUUCCUGGUGUAGCGGUGAAAUGCGCAGAUAUCAGGAGGAACACCGGUGGCGAAGGCGGUUCUCUGGGCAUGAUCUGACGCUGAGGAGCGAAAGUGUGGGGAGCGAACAGG